rnacentral:rRNA from 1 species
AAUGAACGUUGGCGGCGUGGAUUAGGCAUGCAAGUCGAGCGAGAACCCGCAAGGGGGACAGCGGCAAACGGGGUAGUAAUGUGUCGGAACGUGCCCUCUGGUCGGGGAUAGCGGCGGGAAACUGCCGGUAAUACCCGAUGAACUCGAGAGAGCAAAGGUGUGAUUCCGCCGGAGGAGCGGCCGACAUGGUAUUAGCUAGUUGGUAGGGUAAUGGCCUACCAAGGCUUUGAUGCCUAGGGGGUGUGAGAGCAUGGCCCCCACCAUUGGGACUGAGACACUGCCCAGACACCUACGGGUGGCUGCAGUCGAGAAUCUUCGUCAAUGGGCGAAAGCCUGAACGAGCGACGCCGCGUGCGGGAUGAAGGCCCUUGGGUUGUAAACCGCUGUCGAGGGGGAUGAAGGCUUGAAGGUACUCCUUCAAGUUUGACAGAGCCCUGGAGGAAGCACGGGCUAAGUUCGUGCCAGCAGCCGCCGUAACAC